rnacentral:rRNA from 1 species
UACCGGCGCCUCAAGUGGUAGUCGAUUUUAUUGGGCCUAAAACGUCCGUAGCCUGUUCUGUAAGUUUUCGGUUAAAUCUAUGCGCUCAACGUAUAGGCUGCCGAAAAUACUGCAGAACUAGGGAGUGGGAGAGGUAGACGGUACUCGGUAGGAAGGGGUAAAAUCCUUUGAUCUAUUGAUGACCACCUGUGGCGAAGGCGGUCUACCAGAACACGUUCGACGGUGAGGGAUGAAAGCUGGGGGAGCAAACCGG